GCAGCCGCGGUAAUACGUAGGAUGCAAGCGUUAUCCGGAAUGACUGGGCGUAAAGGGUGCGUAGGCGGUUUAGCAAGUUGGUAGCGUAAUUCCGGGGCUUAACUCCGGGACUACUACCAAAACUGCUGGGCUUGAGUGCGGCAGGGGUAUGUGGAAUUCCUAGUGUAGCGGUGGAAUGCGUAGAUAUUAGGAGGAACACCAGAGGCGAAGGCGACAUACUGGGCCGUAACUGACGCUGAGGCACGAAAGCGUGGGGAGCAAACAGGAUUAGAUACCCC
rnacentral:rRNA from 1 species